rnacentral:rRNA from 1 species
UACGUAGGGGGCGAGCGUUGUCCGGAUUUAUUGGGCGUAAAGAGCGUGUAGGCGGCCAGGUAGGUCUGCUGUGAAAACUCGAGGCUCAACCUCGAGACGUCGGCGGAAACCAUCUGGCUAGAGUCCGGAAGAGGAGAGUGGAAUUCCUGGUGUAGCGGUGAAAUGCGUAGAUAUCGGGAGGAACACCUGUGGCGAAAGCGGCUCACUGGACCACAACUGACGCUGAUGCGCGAAAGCGUGGGGAGCGAACAGG